UACGGAGGGUGCAAGCGUUAUCCGGAUUCACUGGGUUUAAAGGGUGCGUAGGCGGGCAGGUAAGUCAGUGGUGAAAUCUCCGGGCUUAACCCGGAACUGCCGUUGAUACUAUCUGUCUUGAAUAUCGUGGAGGUAAGCGGAAUAUGUCAUGUAGCGGUGAAAUGCUUAGAUAUGACAUAGAACACCCAUGCGAAGGCAGCUUACUACACAGUUAUUGACACUGAGGCACGAAAGCGUGGGGAUCAAACAGG
rnacentral:rRNA from 1 species